rnacentral:lncRNA from 1 species
AUGAUCUACCUGUCUCUGCCUCCUAACUAUAUUGUUUUAAAAAAUUGUAGUUGACUAAAAUACCAUUUUCUCUGCUGUGAAGGAAAGUAACACUCUAGAAAUGUGCACUGUGGCUUCAUCUUUUAUUUUUGUUAGGUUUUUGCUUGCUUGUUUGUUUAAGUUUUAGUGUUUUGAGGUAGGGCCUUACCAUGUGGCCAAAUCUAGCCUUUGAUUUAUAAUCCUCUUGGCUUUGUCUCCUGUGUGCUAGGAUUGUAGAUAUGCUUUCCCAAAUCCAGGCAUACUGUGUUUAGACUACACACAAUCUUGAAUGUCUAAUGGCUUGCCAAAGGUCUUUGACAGUCUUGUGUUGAUAAGGAAACAGAUAUUCUGCCAUAGACAGCUAAGGUCAUUACUUUGUAGUCAUCCAGCAAAACAUAAAGUUUUUGUGACUGUUGCUAAUAUUUAUUCUUAUAUAAUGCUUUGCCUCUGUGAAAGUCUCUCUGAAGUAUAAAGUAUAAUCUCUGACUUUCAUGAAAUAUUUUAACAAUUUUUCAAAGGUAUAAUAUAGACUGAACAUAGCUGGCUCUGGGCACCACUUCUUACAAUCAUGCGGAGUUGAGAACAAUAGUUUGAAGACAUUCUAACUUUUCAGGCAACAAGAGGAAUAGCCAAGAACAAGAGCGAAAGUAUUCUGUGCUCAAAAUGAAGAUUAGUCUAUACUGGGAGGUAGUUUUCUGUACAAGGCAGAAAUUGUCUCACUCCACUGCAGUUAAAGGAGUUUAGCAAAGACAACUUGAAAAUGAUGGACCAUCUUUCCAGUCUAAAGCAUGCAGCAAAGGUCUGUUGUCUGUAGAUUGUUUAUAGUAGCACCAAUAAACCAUAAUAUCAGUCUGCUGACACUGAGCCCUCAAAAAACUAGAGUGAGCUAGUCGGUAAACCUCUCUAAACAAAGCCUCAGAACGUCUCCAGGAUUUGUCCAUGUGACAAAGGGGGAAAUUAAAGUGGACAUUUUAAGUCUGGCACAGCCCAGAGCCAUUAUGUCUAGAAUCUGCUGGUUCUUGUUGAUUAUUUGUUAAAUCUUACAAAGCUUCUUUAUCCUGUCUGAUUUUCCAUGUCUGUGAAAUAUAUAACUUUUUAUCUUACUUUUUAAUCUUAAUACACUUUUAGUUAAAAUGGAAAACAUCAUUUUCCCCUUUUCCUCCCUCCAGCUGCUUCCAUCCUCUACCUCCAACUCUUACCACACUUCCCAACUUUCAAAUUGAUAACUUCACUCUCUUUGGUCGUUAUUGUUGCAUAUAUACAUUUUUAUGUAUAAGUAUAUAAAUACAACCUGCUGAGUUUUUUUGUUGUUGUUGUCAGUAUACAUGGUCUGUUUGUGUUAGAUAACUGCUUUGGAGUGUGAUCCCUGAGACAGGUCAAUUCCCCUUCUCCCAGCAGUCAUUAGCUGUCUGUAAUUCUUUGUCUAGAGAUGGGAGCCCUUGAGUUAGAUAUCUCUCCUUACUCAUUAGCACGUCUGUUGAUAUUGCCAUUGUUUAGUCUUGUUUCUGCAAGCAUUUCAAUGACAGAAGUCAUUGGCAGUCUGGCUCUUCAGUCUUCCCACCCCGUUGUCUACUGUGCAAUUUCCCUGACACAGAUGCAGGAUGUGUGAUGAUCCUGUGAAUUCUCUACUUCUAAGGUCUUAUCCUAGGUCAUGAAAGAGUUUUCAUUUGUCUUUUCAAUUGCACUUGUGUGGUGGAGCACACCUUUAAUCCCAGCACUCCUAAGGCAAUGGCAGGCAGAUUCUGUUGAGUCUGAGGUCAGGUCCUCACAGUGAGUUCCAGGCUAGCCAAGGUUACACAGUGAGGCCCUGUGUUAAAAAACAAAUAAACGAAUACACAAAUUAAAAUUAAACUUUCUACUUUGCUACUUAAAAUCGUGGCCUUUCACCUAAAACCAUUUUAUUCAAGUAAGGGAGCUAAAAUAGAUUUAAGUAACUCAGUUUCUUUACAUAAGCAGUUGCCUGUGGAACUCUAUCUUAUGCCUAACCACUUAACUCAGGAACUGAAUAGAAUUUGAUAGCAAGAGAAACAGUUACCUGCUUCAAACAGAUCUCUGAGACUGACAUACUCUCUUCAGUAUAUACAAAGUAUCCAGAAAAGCCCUGGGCAUGUAGUAAGGACUGUAUAAAUAUUAGUUACCUUUCAAGCUAUCUUCCUACAAAUUGAACUUUUAAAUAAUUUGCUAUGGAAAAGAGCUAAGAUAUAUUCUAUAAACAAAAGAAUGUUAUGGGAGAAUUCAUGGGAAUUUUAAAUCUUAUUUAAGAAUCCACAAAAAAAGUAAUGAAAGAAGCCACAGAGAAACCUUCAAAAGACUUUUAACCUUUAACUUAGGGAAGGAGAUGCUAUUGAUUUGAAUUGGUUUGGGUUAAUUUUCAUUGUUGUUUUAAGGUUUUUACAUUUUUCACCCUUAUGGUUCUUGCUCCUACCCAGGGAAACAGUAAGUGUGGCAGUAAAGGGGCUUUGGAAACCGGUGAAAGUGUUGCAGAGCAACACUGAAUCAGAGCAAGCUAAGGUUAAUCUAAGAUUUUCAUAACUUUCCUUCUUAGGUUCCAACAUUAAGUAGAUUCUAAAAAUACUCUAAAGAUGAACACAUUACAGCACUGAAGCAUUUUCUAGCUCACCUCUGUCUUUAAAAAUGUCUUGGUUUCGUGGGAGAGGAUACACUUAGCCUUGCAGAGACUUGAUGUGCCAAGGAGGGUGGAUACACAGGAGGGUGGGGGCAUUGGGAGCUCCACCCUCUCAGAAGAGAAGGGAAGUAGGUGAAGGAUUGUGUGAGGGGCUGACCAGUAGGAGAAGAAUCUGGAUGUAAAAUGAAUAGAUAAAAUUAAUUCAUUAAAGAGGGAGGUUGUUUAUGGGAGGCGAAAUAACAGGCCUAAGGAGGUUCCUGAUAGAAAGGCAAUUAGACCUCAAUGUGUUUAGAAUUUUCAAAUGUUUUUUAUAGUCCUUAUCUGUAAACACAUUUCUAAAAUUCUUUCUAGCUCUCACAAUUUAAAUUUUGUUUGAGGCAAAGUGCUUCAAGUAUAUUCAACCCAUAGAUGACAGUUUAAAAAGCUUAAUUGAAUGGGUUUCCUCUAAAUAUGCUGAUGUUAAUGUUUAUAUUUUUAACAUUGUCAAGAAGAAACUUCCUGAGCAAAAUUACAGGUGGCGAUGCCAAGCGUGCUGAAGGCACUGUGUGACAAAGUUCUUUUGGUGCAUCUUGAAAGCACUAUUUGACAAAGUUCCAGUGCUUGGACAGUCUGGACUGAUCCUUCACUACUCUUGAUCAAUACUGGCUGCACACCCUUUCCUAUACUUAUGCUUCUUGCUGUUAGAGGCCUCUCUCCAAAGGCUAGACCUGUAUAACAAAAAGCUAGUGAAUAUGAGAAUGAAAUCAACAAAAGUUCCCUGGAAAAACCAGUUAUACUGAAAACUGAGUCUUUCCUAAAAACUUAUUAUUUUAAUGAAUAUUCAGAUCCUAAUGAGUGUUGUUAGUAUGAGGAAGAGGAUUUGAGAAGAGUUAUUUAAGAAGAAAACUUUAAGGAAAUUUUAGAAAGUGACAAGCUGUAAUUGAAUUGCUAGGUUUCUUAAUGUUUAAUUUUAGAAACAAGGAACUUGUAGUAUAGGAAGAGACUUUGAUCAUGCAAGUUUAUGACAAGCCUUGGUACCUUCUUAAUGACAAAAGUAAGCAGUUUUAGGGACCCUGGUGUUCUUCUGUUCUUUACAGAACUGUAAUAAAGUUCGGAAUCAUAUUAAUAGAAACAAGGGUUCAAAACAGAGACACAGAGGAAGGCAUCUUGGCUCAAUACUGCCUGCCUUCCUGAACAAACCUGUCAGACCAGAACUUCACUGAUAGACUGGCCUUGCUUCAGCAAAGGGGCUGAACAAUAUUUUAAGAAUCAAAGAAAGGGGACGGUAGUCUUAUGUCAAAUAUAAAAGAAAUAUAGAGGAAGGAAAGGAAUAAUUGAGUAAAGGUUGAACUUCUGUGAAAAGUUAAAUAUGAUAUAGUAGGUAGUAGGAAAUCACUUUUGAUCUAUUGGUCUUAUGUCAAACUGAAACAGAAUCGAAUUUAAAUAGAGUCACUCUAUCUAGCAUGUCUGUAACCGCAAGGCUUUAUAACACCAAUCUUAAGGAAGAAGAUAUUGAGUUUAAAGAAAAUUGAUUUUAUCAAAUGUUAAUCCUUAGUUCCUAUAAAAUUGCAGUUUGCUUGCUUUGUCUUUUAAUAUCCUUAUGUAAUCAGGAAGAAUACGUAUUUUGAAAAGCUGUGUAAUCAGUGCAUAAAAUUUCUGAGGAAAUGAUUUUGUGUAUAAAUAAAACCUGAAAGAGACAAGAGUUGUCAGAGUAGGAAAAGCCAUACUGAAAUGUGCUUCCUCUCUGUCCCUUCUCUCAUGAAG